AUGAAGGCUUAUUUGGAAAAAAAAACAGUUUAAGUUAUUUUGGUGUGAUUUCUUGGAAAUAGUUUCUUUAUAGGAACCAGGUGGUGACAAAGAAAGAGAAAUUGGGCUUGAGAACAUCACUGCUGAACUGGCUAUGUAAAUGGAAAAUAUUUCUCUCAGGCUUCAAGGGGAGUUCUCUUCAAUCAGCACUGUGGGAUUCAGAAAACAGCCUUGUACUUUCUCAAUAGAAACCAUCGGUGACAUGAGUGACUUCAGGCAGUGUACCAACCAGACACUCCAACGUGAAAGGGUGAUUCCUGACAUGCAAAAGAGUGCUAUCUUCACACAAGGACUGCAGGAGCUCAACACCAGCAAGGAAGUCAUCUCCUAGUGAGUAACUGCAAGUCUUUUCAGGGCAUGACAUACUCAAAAGCUAACUUAAUCAAUUCAAAAUCAC
rnacentral:lncRNA from 10 species